UACGUAGGGACCGAGCGUUGUCCGGAUUCAUUGGGCGUAAAGAGCUCGUAGGCGGUUGCUCAAGUCGAAUGUGAAAACUCGAGGCUCAACCUCGAGCCUGCAUUCGAUACUGGGCGGCUAGAGUCUGGUAGGGGGAUCUGGAAUUCCUGGUGUAGCGGUGGAAUGCGCAGAUAUCAGGAGGAACACCGGUGGCGAAGGCGGGAUCCUGGGCCAGUACUGACGCUGAGGAGCGAAAGCGUGGGGAGCAAACAGG
rnacentral:rRNA from 1 species